ACAGGAUUAGAUACCCUGGUAGUCCACGCCGUAAACGGUGGGCGCUAGUUGUGCGAACCUUCCACGGUUUGUGCGACGCAGCUAACGCAUUAAGCGCCCCGCCUGGGGAGUACGAUCGCAAGAUUAAAACUCAAAGGAAUUGACGGGGCCCCGCACAAGCAGCGGAGCAUGCGGCUUAAUUCGACGCAACGCGAAGAACCUUACCAAGGCUUGACAUAUACAGGAAUAUGGCAGAGAUGUCAUAGCCGCAAGGUCUGUAUACAGGUGGUGCAUGGUUGUCGUCAGCUCGUGUCGUGAGAUGUUGGGUUAAGUCCCGCAACGAGCGCAACCCUCGUUCUGUGUUGCCAGCAUUUAGUUGGGGACUCACAGGAGACUGCCGGGGUUAACUCGGAGGAAGGUGGGGAAUGACGUCAAAUCAUCAUGCCCCUUAUGUCUUGGGCUGCACGCAUGCUACAAUGGCUGGUACAAACGGCUGCGAUACCGCAAGGUGGAGCGAAUCCGAUAAAGCCAGUCUCAGUUCGGAUUGGGGUCUGCAACUCGACCCCAUGAAGUCGGAGUUGCUAGUAAUCGUAGAUCAGCAACGCUACGGUGAAUACGUUCCCGGGGCUUGUACACACCGCCCGUCACAUCACGAAAGUCGGUAACACCCAAAGUCAGUGGCCCAACC
rnacentral:rRNA from 1 species